UGCCUUAGGUCCGUUGCGGGAGGUGGGAACUUUGUCAUUUUCCCCCCUACAAUAAUAUACACAGUUUAAAACGGAGGGGUCCGUUGCCGGAGGUGCCUUAGGUCCGUUGCGGGAGGUGGGAACUUUGUCAUUUUUUCCCCUACAAAAACUUCUUCACACCAACUAACCACUGGUUCACUCCAACACUCGUACAUAGCAAUAGAUAAAUACAAGAACGACAUUCCCACAGGUCCGUUGUCGUAACUGGCAACUUUCAUUACAUGCCAUGCGUGGGCCGGGGCCGGGGAUGCAAACAAACAAACAAUCAAACAAU